rnacentral:lncRNA from 1 species
ACUCUCAUAACAUGGGAGUGGCCUUCCAUACCCGUGAUAACAAGGGCCUCCACCAUGUCCUUGAUAACAUUCCAUGCAACACGCUCUCACCGGCGGUGGGUAGUCUGGUAUUAGUUCAGGAGCCUUAGGUGGCGGCGCAGGUGCCGGUGCUGGAGCUGGCGCCGGCGCCGGAGCCGGAGCCUUAGGUGGCGGUGCAGGUGCAGGUGCUGGUGCCGGUGCUGGAGCCGGAGCCGGAGCCUUAGGCUUUUCUGCUUGCUUUGGCUUUUCUGGCUCUUUAGGCUUCUCUGGUUGUUUAGGCUUCUCGGGCUCCUUAGGCUUCUCUUUAGGCUUCUCGGGUUCCUUAGGCUUUUCAGGCUGUUUAGGCUUCUCAGGCUCCUUGGGCUUCUCUUGUGGUUUAG